AAUUAAAAAUAAUAUGAAGAUAACUUAAAAACAAUAUUUUUUUUAUUAAAUACGUUGAAAAAAAAAAGAAAAAAUUAAAAUUGAUAAAAACACUUAAAGAAAGUAACAAAAAAUAAAAUUUAUGCUACGCUGGAUAAAUAAAAGCUAAAAUGAAAUAAUACAUCGAAAGAAAAUAGCAUGAUAUGUACUUACUUAUGUAUGUACUUACGUAUGUAUGUACUUACGUAUGUAAGAAUAUUUAAUUAUUACUUGUUCCAUUCGUUUUAUUCGUUUCAUUUGUUCUAUUUGUUUUAUUUGUUCUACUCCUUUUAUUUGCUUUGUUCGUUUUAUUUAUUUUUUUUACCUUUUUUCUCACAUUUAUAAUAAAACACUUAUUAUGCGCUCUCUAUAAAAUGAAAAACAAAACAGUGGUUAAAAUAGUUAUGGAAUCACCCUAUAACAUAGAAAUGUAAUAUAAUAAUAAAAAAAAAAGAAAAAAAAGAAAAAUAUUUUUUUUUACGUUUUACAUUUGCUUAAUGCUUAUAUAUAUAUAUGUAUAUGUGCACAUCUGUAUAUCCAUUAUUCCCAUUACUCUUAUUUAGAAAACCUCUUGAUGUUAAGAAGAGCAAUUCGAUACAGAAGACAUUAUUUAAGUAAAUAAGACAAAAACAAAAAAUGUUUUAAUUAUUUUUCAGUUAAAUACAGCACAUAAACUUGAUAGUACAAGAAACUGUUCAUUUUGGUGUGACCAUAUAUUUAAUUACAUAGGACCUGAGUGGGAUGUACCUAGUUGUAUUAUAGUUAAAUUUUUCUACAUAUAUAUAUAUAUAUAUAUAUAUUUACACCUUUGUGAUAAAUAAAAACUUUUUCAGAAUUAUGAAUUCUCCUAAUAAGGAAAAUUUAUUUUUGUUUGAUCAUGGUGAAAUUAUAAUGGGUUUAGAAAAUAACAGGGUGGAAGCACUUAUAUUGAUUAAAACGCCAGAGUAUGAACAGUUUUAUAAGCACAUACCAAUAAUAGCAUCAUUAAAGAAGGUCUGUUAUGUUUUGAUUGAGUGCAACAAUGACUCAAUAUUUUCAAAAUAUUUUACUACACCCCAUGUUGGUAUAAAAACUGUAGAUGAGAAAACAAACAAUCCAUCUUCUGAUAUUUAUAAAGAAAUAAAAAAUUUAAUUUCAUUAAUUAAGUCAUAUUAUAUUCCUGCAGAUAUUCCUUAUUUGUUUAGCCACCCAAGUAACAUUUGAAAAAAAAAAAAAUAAAUAAAAAUAAGCUACACA
rnacentral:lncRNA from 1 species